AGCAGCCGCGGUAAUUCCAGCUCCAAUAGCGUAUAUUAAAGUUGUUGCAGUUAAAAAGCUCGUAGUUGAAUUUCGGGAUCAAUAUGUUGGUCGUGCCUCGGUACGUACUAGCAUAUUGGUUUCUCCUUUCUGAAGAACCAUGAUGUCAUUUAUUUGGCGUCGUGGGGAAUCAGGACUGUUACUUUGAAAAAUUAGAGUGUUUAAAGCAGGCUCACGCUUGAAUACAUUAGCAUGGAAUAAUGAAAUAGGGCGUUUGAUUCUAUUUUGUUGGUUUCUAGGAUCGACGUAAUGAUUAAUAGAGAUAGUUGGGGGCAUUAGUAUUCAAUUGUCAGAGGUGAAAUUUCUUGGUAUUUAUUGAAGACUAACUACUGCGAAAGCAUUUGCCAAGGAUGUUUUCAUUAAUCAAGAACGAAGUUAGGGGAUCGAAGACGAUCAGAUACCGUCGUAGUCUUAACCAUAAAACUAU
rnacentral:rRNA from 1 species